CGCCGCCCCCGACCACCUCCUCCACGUCGACAUGUCCUAGGUCCUCCGCAGCAGCAGCAGAUGGAUCUGGCGGAGCCUACCUUCCCCAUGUCCUCCACCGCGACCGUGGCCGCUCCGGCACCAGCAGGGCCACACAGCGGCGGGAGCAAGUCCGUGCUCGACGCAAAUGUCGGUGAUUCCUUGCGGAUGUGGGUGAGCAUGCAUCUACUUGUCUACUUCGUUGUGCCAGCUCGACCCAGUGUCUUCAUGCCAGAUUGAUGCAUCUUUUGGGAAUUAUGGCACAUCCUAAUUUUCUGUUGCUGUUACUUCACACUUGAAGCAGAACUCUGAAAUGCUCAUAGUUUGUGUUGUUUCUAGAGGUUUUCUCUACUGGAUGCUCUCUUUUAUUUUGGUUGCAGCAAUGCCAUCUAUCGAUAUGCCUGCCUCUUUUCUCUUU